GGCGCAAUUAUGAGAUGGACCUGCGUUGUAUUAGCUAGUUGGUGAGGUAAAGGCUCACCAAGGCGACGAUACAUAGCCGACCUGAGAGGGUGAUCGGCCACACUGGGACUGAGACACGGCCCAGACUCCUACGGGAGGCAGCAGUAGGGAAUCUUCGGCAAUGGGGGCAACCCUGACCGAGCAACGCCGCGUGAGUGAAGAAGGUUUUCGGAUCGUAAAGCUCUGUUGUUAGAGAAGAAUGAUGGUGGGAGUGGAAAAUCCACCAAGUGACGGUAACUAACCAGAAAGGGACGGCUAACUACGUGCCAGCAGCCGCGGUAAUACGUAGGUCCCGAGCGUUGUCCGGAUUUAUUGGGCGUAAAGCGAGCGCAGGCGGUUUUUUAAGUCUGAAGUUAAAGGCAUUGGCUCAACCAAUGUACGCUUUGGAAACUGGAGAACUUGAGUGCAGAAGGGGAGAGUGGAAUUCCAUGUGUAGCGGUGAAAUGCGUAGAUAUAUGGAGGAACACCGGUGGCGAAAGAGGCUCCCUGGUAUGUAACUGCAGGUGAGGAGCGGUAGCGGGGGGAGCAGACAGGAUAGAAUGACCUGGUAGGCCACGGCGUAAGCGCGUGAACUGCUA
rnacentral:rRNA from 1 species